rnacentral:rRNA from 1 species
UGAGGAAUUUUGCGCAAUGGGGGAAACCCUGACGCAGCAACGCCGCGUGGGUGAUGAAGGCCUUCGGGUCGUAAAGCCCUGUCGGGCGGGAAGAACGUCCCUUCGGGGAAUGACGGUACCGCCAGAGGAAGCACCGGCUAACUCCGUGCCAGCAGCCGCGGUAAUACGGAGGGUGCAAGCGUUAUUCGGCAUUACUGGGCGUAAAGGGCGUGCAGGCGGGAGAGCAAGUCUGAUGUGAAAGCCCGGGGCUUAACCCCGGAAGGGCAUUGGAAACUGCUUUUCGUGAGUUCUUGAGAGGAAGUGAGAAUGCCCGGUGUAGAGGUGAAAUUCGUAGAGAUCGGGAGGAACAUCAGUGGCGAAGGCGCCCUUCUGGACAGCAACUGACGCUGAGACGCGAAAGCGUGGGGAGCAAACA